GCAGCGGUAGUACAGUGGCGAACGGGUGAGUAGCACGUAAGCAAUCUGCCUUUCAGCUGGGGAUAACCCUGCCAACGCGGGGCUAAUACCGAAUAGCAUUGCGGGGCCGCAUGGUCCUGCGAUAAAAGACGGGCAACCGUCACUGAAAGAUGAGCUUGCGUCCGAUUAGCUAGUUGGCGGGGUAACGGCCCACCAAGGCGACGAUCGGUAGCCGGCCUGAGAGGGUGUACGGCAACAUUGGGACUGAGAUACGGCCCAGACUCCUACGGGAGGCAGCAGUAGGGAAUUUUGCGCAAUGAGCGAAAGCCUGACGCAGCAGCGCCGCGUGAGUGAUGAAGGCCUUCGGGUUGUAAAGCUCUGUCGGGAGGGAAGAAAACGCCGGAUUAAUACUCCGGCAUUGACGGUACCUCCGGAGGAAGCACCGGCUAACUCUGUGCCAGCAGCCGCGGUAAUACAGAGGGUGCUAGUGUUGUUCGGAUUUACUGGGCGUAAAGGGAGUGUAGGCGGAAAACUAAGUCAGUGGUGAAAUGUCAGGGCUUAACCCUGAAUGUGCCGUUGAUACUGGUUUUCUUGAGUAUGGAAGAGGGCGACGGAAUUCCUGGUGUAGCGGUGGAAUGCGUAGAUAUCAGGAGGAACCCCGAUAGCGAAGGCAGUCGCCUGGGACAAUACUGACGCUGAAACUCGAAAGCGUGGGGAGCAAACAGGAUUAGAUACCCUGGUAGUCCACGCCCUAAACGAUGGAUACUGGAUAUUGGUAGGAUUUAUGCUACCAGUGUCGUAGCUAACGCGUUAAGUAUCCCGCCUGGGGAAUACGCUCGCAAGAGUGAAACUCAAAGAAAUUGACGGGGGCCCGCACAAGCGGUGGAGCAUGUGGUUCAAUUCGAUGUACGCGAAGAACCUUACCUGGGCUUGACAUGGGGGCGCCGCGGUCAGAGAUGGCCGUUUUUCGCAAGAAACGCCCCACACAGGUGCUGCAUGGCUGUCGUCAGCUCGUGUCGUGAGAUAUUGGGUUAAGUCCCGCAACGAGCGCAACCCUUGUCCAGUGUUACCAGCGGGUAAAGCCGGGGACUCACUGGAGACUGCCUCAUUCUAAGAGGAGGAAGGUGGGGAUGACGUCAAGUCCUCAUGGCCCUUACGUCCAGGGCUACACACGUGCUACAAUGGCCGGUACAGAGAGUUGCAAUACUGUGAAGUGGAGCUAAUCUCAAAAAACCGGUCUCAGUUCGGAUUGGAGUCUGCAAUUCGACUUCAUGAAGCUGGAAUCGCUAGUAAUCGCGGAUCAGCUAUGCCGCGGUGAAUACGUUAUCGGGCCUUGUACACACCGCCCGUCAAGCCAUGAAAGCCGGGGGUACUCUACGUGACCGCCUGAACCGUAAGGAGGGCGUCCCUAAAGUAAAACCGGUAAUUGGGGCUAAGUCGUAACAAGGUA
rnacentral:rRNA from 1 species